ACGAACGCUGGCGGCGUGCUUAACACCUGCAAGUCGAACGGAAAGGCCCUGCUUGCAGGGUACUCGAGUGGCGAACGGGUGAGUAACACGUGGGUGAUCUGCCCUGCACUUCGGGAUAAGCCUGGGAAACUGGGUCUAAUACCGGAUAGGAGCCAUUUUUAGUGUGAUGGUUGGAAAGUUUUUUCGGUGUAGGAUGAGCUCGCGGCCUAUCAGCUUGUUGGUGGGGUAAUGGCCUACCAAGGCGGCGACGGGUAGCCGGCCUGAGAGGGUGGACGGCCACAAUGGGACUGAGAUACGGCCCAGACUCCUACGGGAGGCAGCAGUGGGGAAUAUUGGACAAUGGGCGCAAGCCUGAUGCAGCGACGCCGCGUGGGGGAGGACGGCCUUCGGGUUGUAAACUCCUUUCGCUAGGGACGAAGCUUUUUGUGACGGUACCUAGAGAAGAAGCACCGGCUAACUACGUG
rnacentral:rRNA from 1 species